AACUAUUUGCAAAUUUGACCCAAUUAGUUUCACCUGGGAAAAAUGUUUUCAGGGCCAGCUUCAGCAAAGUGUGUGUCUUCAGAUCUUCUCUCUGCCUGAGUCAGAGGAAGGAAUUGAAUCCACAUUUCCUGCCUACCAGGAGAAAUUGAGACCAGCCCAACCCACUUCAGAAUAACCUACAGCCUAGUGGUUAGAUUUCUUACUUGGGGCAGAGAAGAGGAGCUGAAUUCAAAUCCCUGCUCCAGUGUGUGGCUUUAAAGCUGUCUCUUCCACGUGCUAGGUGGUCUGUAUCUUCUUGACUGUCUUUUGACCUUCAUUUUGGGAUGAAAUUCCAAGAGGCUGUGACACAAGGAAAAAUGGAAGCUCAUUAAACCUUGAUAGUCUUCUAGUCAAAUGGAAACACCCUUGGAUAAAGAAGGUGGCCAAACUAAGACAACCAGUCCACCCAGAUAGGGCUUUGCAGUCCAGCCUGAAUAAAGGGCAGCAUGUAGUUGCACUGCCUCAGGAACAGAAUGAACCAAUGGACCAAAGUCACAAUUACGACAUUUCUGGGGGCUGUAUUAAUUUUCUCAUCAGCUUUUCCAGUUCCUUCUGGCCGAGAAGUGAGAGAGAUGAAGCUCAGAUCCUGAAUUUGGACUUCCCCAUAUAACAGUUUAUUGCAUUACCACUGACUGUCGAACACCUAGCAAGACCUGCCAAGUUGUAUCCUGCUAAUGCAGUUAUGUGGUACCAAAUUUUAGUGUACUUUUUUUCAUUGUGUAACUGAUGUAAAGUUAUUUUCUCCAUCAAAGCUGUGUUUGACAAUUCUUUCAACCACUCUGAGUAAAUUGGAGGUGUUUGAUUCAAUUUUCUGAGUAUUACUCAUCGGUACUUUUUUUUUCUCAAUAUUCAUCUAUUAAUUCCAGUAUACAGACUUUAGGAGAGGAAUAGAACUUGUAUUCAAAGGCCUUUUCAUAUAUUGCUAUAGUGUUGUUGUUUUUUUAAAAUGUAUGCCAAGAAAAAAAUUGUAUGAGUCAGAUUAAUUGAUACUUGAUGAUGGCUUCUCCAGCAUUUAUUGUAGUUAGCUAAACUUGCUUUAUUUACAUGUUCUGAUGUCCAGUAAAAUCUGUUUUGUACUGAAAAAUGUCCUAAACUAGACUAAAUGUAUUUCUGAAGUUCUUUCAUAUUUCUUCCCAAUCUUCUUCUGACAAGGAGAUACGUCAUUUCACUUUCCACUUAUAUUUUACUUUCAUUUCUGGUGGGUAUGACAAAGGAUUAAAUCUUUGUGUAUUUCUUUCAAGAUGACCUUUAUUGCCAAAUUUCCUAAUAAAUUAUUCUAAUGGUCACAUUAGUUUAU